GUUCGCCACCCCUGGUCCAGUUGCAAUUAAAAAUUAUUAUUUUUUUAACAAUUAAAAAUUUAUUGUUAAUCUCGUCGACAAUACUUUUUGAUGUUCAUUGUUACAGAAGUCCAUUGUUGACUUUUCUUAUAAUGGCUCUAAUAAUAUUGUUAAUAUUAAAUUACAUUUAAAAAAUUAUUCUACUCGUAAUCGUGGAUAAAGUUUAAGAGAUAUUUACUUCAUGUUGGAUUUCGACGAUUUUUCUGUUCGGAUUGUCUUUUUUCUGUUUGCAUAUUUGCAAAACCGACAUUUUACCAAAUAAAUCUUUAAUUAUGGCACAUCAUAUUCUUUCUCCGAUUGCAUGGACAGCUUUAAUUGCAUGGAUAUGUGUAGCGUGCAUUUCGGGAUAUGGAGGUGUCGUGAACAAAUUCCUUUCUUUCUACUUCUUUGUCGCAAUGGAUCGACUGGUAUUCUGGAUUUAUCUUCUGCACCCUUUAGUUUUUCUUUAUGUCUUUGGGAAGAUUAGAAGCCCAAACUCAGUUACAGAAAUAAAUUUGUGGAUGCUAUUCCUGUUCGUGUUGUUUUUUUCCACUAUUGGAGCUGUAUUCUGUUACCUUUUUUUGGAGAUUCCAGUCUCAUAUUUUCUGCGGGAAUUUGUUUCCAAGAAAAGUUUUAAGAAAAAGUACGAAUAAUAAAAAUAAACAAAAUGAAACACAACAUAAAGAAAUUAACUGAAUUAUGAUAUCAAUAUCCGGAAGUGAGAGAAAAGAGAUACACAAGGGAAAAGUACGAGACCUCCACUCUUUCUACGUCUAACAAAUAUGGAAAUAUAACACAAUAUAUAAAAUUAACAUAUAACAUUUAUAGCAAUUUUGUAUUAUGCUUGCAGCAUGUAAAUUAAUAUCGAUGUUUUUCUGUGUCGGAUAUCUAGGGAACUGUUGUAAUUUGUAAUCUCUUGUCAACGUUAACUGAUAUUUUUUAUUAAUCCGAAUUUAUUAGGUAGUUAUCUCAUUAUCUAGAAUAUUUGGCUAUGGUGUUAAAAAUGUAUACA